rnacentral:lncRNA from 1 species
GUAAUUCCUUCCCGCUGCCUUUGCCAGCUGUUUGUUAUCAUGCCUGUGCUGGAAGUAGUCGGCUCCCACAGCACGGUCAGUGGAAGGAAUUGUCUCAUCUGCUUCAGACAGAGAGUCAACUACUUUAUUUUACACAACCUUCAGAAGCAGGUUCAACUUGGGAAAUGAAUUUUCACUGAAGAGGAUGUGAGGUGCUCACACUACUUUUUCUGGGGAUUCAUUUGCAAUAGGGCUUAUCUCCAGCAGAGGUGUGGCUAUUUUUUGCAAGGAUUUUUGACCAUGGUCUUAUUGGCAGCAUCUGUCUUAGACUAUAGUAUCAGAAGCCCAAUUAACAGAGAGAGCUGUCAGCUGGAACUAAGUAACACCAGCAAGAUCCCCGGAUGGAUGAAGCCCAAGCUGAUUUACUACAGCUAGGCAGAAUCUGUGGGAUAACAUAGCCAGUUCACGGACAAACAGGGGUCAGAAACAUACCUGUUUACAGGAUCAGUGGGAGCACCUGAGAUUCUCCAGAGUCAUAUCUUGCUAUAACAGAGUUUUGGCAGGGAGCAGGAGAAGGCUUAACUCCCAGGAGCAGAGGAGAAGCAGCAGUCUGGAAGCUAGGCAGGAAAGUGAAAAAGGAGGCCUGGGGAUGACAGCAAGCCUCUCCGGCAGAGGUCUCCGCUACUUACUGCGAAAUCCAGGCAGCCACAAAAUCAGCGAAAUGCUUAGGAAUGCUUCUGUUUGCAUCACUCCAGGCUGCCUAAUCCUGAAAGGACAAUCUUGUACCUACCCAUGAGGAUCUGACCAAGAAGGACUCAUCUCAGCAGUGAAUCUCUCUAUCUCUCUGAAGCGCUCCACCUUGUUCAAAUAAAUAACGGCAGUAGUAGCA